AGUUAAUUUAUUGGCGCUGUGUUCUAAUAACUUUUCACAAAAACGGUCUAACAUACUCCAGAAGGUUUGAUAGUUUCAAAUAUAACAGAUUUCAAAAAAUAAUUGAUGUGUGAAAUGAUUGACUAGAUAUCGAUAAAUAUCUACUUCAAUAAACUGGGCGUAGGCUUUUUAUUGAUUUUGUAGUAAAAUACAGCUAUUUCAAGAUGAAAGCAGUGUUUUUGGUGGUAUUUUCAGCAGUAGCAUUCUCAACCCUCUUCCACUCAGAAGUAGCCACAAUAUCUUGGGAUGAGCUAACGCCGGAAACCAUUAAAAACCUUCAAGUAAAAGGAGUUACGCAAGUACAUUUCAUAAGGAACAACAACUCAGGCAAGCGUUGUAUUGUACAGCUACAUGAAUUACGACGCUCCGGUAUUUCUAUGGACUCAUUUGAAUAUGUUCGGAUUGACGAAUGCCCAAAUACUCGAUGCUGUAAAGAAUUGAUUACCAAUUUACGACAAGUUAACAGAUUGGAGAUAUUAUCAGCAGGCCUAAGCGAAUUCGAUUUCAGUUUGGUUGCUUCGAGACAGUUGAAAGAAAUUAGUUUAAAUGGAAAUGAAGGCAUAACACUGAAAGGAAUCUGCAUUGCUAAGUUAACACAGUUUAAUUGUGUUGAAUGCAAACUCAACCCGUCAGGUAUUGAAUCACUGUUUCAAUUCAAGUAUUUUAUGAUUGCAAUGGAUUUACGUGGAAAUGAUGUAAACAAAACCGAAAAUGAGAUGCGCAAACUGUUUCCAAAUCUUCAAGUUCUGUUUAUGGAUUCUCAACAUACUACUACUAUAUUACCUACUCUUAGACCAAACCAGGACGACAAUGGAUCUAAGAAAAUUUAUCCAUGUUGUAUAAUAAUUUUAUUAUGCGUAUUUUCAACGAUUACAAAGAUAUUUCUGAAUGGAAUCAGCUGAGAAGGCCUAUCAUUACCUAAAUAUUGAAUUUAUUGCUUAUCGUUUAAGAUUGAUUUAUAUUACAUCACUGAUUUCACUGAUCGGUAUUAUCGGAAUUACUGCAACAAGUAUGAUGUGGCAAAUAAUGUUUAUAGAUUGCACUGAAUAUGUGCACGUCAAUCUUAAUUUUCGACUUUAUUCAAUUUUUCAAAGAUUUUAAAGUAUAUUGCUAUACUAUACUCAAUGCAGGGGAGUAUACGGAUCAGUGGUUACGUACAAGCUGUAUUUUGAAAUGGUUGUUGGUUGCUAGGUAGCAGAAUAAAUAUAAUUGGUGCUGGGUAAA